UGCCAGCAGCCGCGGUAAUACAGAGGGUGCAAACGUUGUUCGGAAUCACUGGGCUUAAAGCGCGCGUAGGCGGCGACAUCAGUGUCUUGUGAAAGCCCCCGGCUCAACCGGGGAACUGCAGGGCAUACUGUGUUGCUAGAGUACGAGAGGGGAGAGGAGAACUCCUGGUGGAGCGGUGGAAUGCGUAGAUAUCAGGAGGAAUGCCGAAGGUGAAGACACCUCUCUGGCUCGUAACUGACGCUAAGGCGCGAAAGCUAGGGUAGCGAACGGGAUUAGAUA
rnacentral:rRNA from 1 species